UGUCAAGCUUUCACAACCAUACAUAGAUUUAAAAAUAUGAUGGUAGGGACAACCCCAACUUUGAUAUUAAAUGAUUUAUCUCUACUCUUGAGAGUCUGGCUCCUUCAUAUUCAUCUUUCCAAGUCAGAGUCUUCUUAUGAUUUCUUGACUAGUUUUCAUUCUGAUUAAUAAUGAGUGAGCCAAGUGAUGAAAAAUCUUGAACUAUUUCAAUGUCUUCAUCAUCUACUUUAAACUCAUAUAAAAUAUCUGUGAUGAUUAGUUUGGUUUUCUUAAUAUUUAAUUGCAAAUCGGACCUUCUACUUUCUUGACUUUCUUCAAAUAAUUGUUUCAAAUUUUUGCUAUUUUCUGCUAGUAGUAUGGUGUCAUCUGCAUAUCUGAAACCUUUGAUAUUUCUUCCUCCAAUUUUCACACCUGCUUCUACUGAAUGUAAUUGUGCUUUCGCAUUUCUACCUGAUAAAGUCUCUGGCUUCAGUCCAGAUUUAUUCUGGUUUUUCUGGCAGUCAAUUAAUGCAAAUCUAUUUUUUAAAUUCUGCAGGGAUAUUCUUCAGGUUAUAUUUCAGCAUAUUGGUUGGUUUAGUGUUCUUUAGCUUUGCUCUAAUUUUUAAUAUUGGUGGUUUAUGUGCCACAAUCUGCUCCAGGUUUUGUUUUUGCAGAAAGAAUAGGCUUUCUCCUGUUAUAUAGCCUAUUUGAUUUCUAUAUUGCCCACUAGAUGAUAUGCUUGCCUCUGAGGACAGGCGAAGAAUGUGUUUGUAAUGAACAAAUGGAUAGUCCUGCAAAAUACAAUCAGUCACUCUUCUGCUUUUUUUUAUUUAGACCAAAUUUUCUUACAAUCUAAUAAAUAAAUACAAUAUUGGAUUCUACUCUAUUAUCUUCUUUUGUAUUCUAAUAACCUAAUUUUUGUAUUCUAAUAACCUAUGAUUAACACAAGUCCACUUCCUCCUGGAGUCCAGUACAGAAUCUUAUAAUUACUUUUUGUGUAUUUUGCAUUAUACCCCUUGAUUUCUCUUGCCACCUCUCUCCUCAACAUUAUGGUAUCCCGUUUCUUCUUAGAUUUUCAUUUUCUAAGUAAAACAUUAUGAAACUGUCUGACUUAAAAUGUUCUAAUUCUGUCCACUUUAACUUAACCAUGUCAAGUAUUGCAGUAUUUAAAUUGUGGGGGUUUUUUUUGUUUUGUUUUACUAUGUCUAGCUUCCCUCGAUUCCUGCUUCUUGCACUUCAUGGUCUGGUAAUAUGUGCUGAGUGGUUUCAAACUGAGCAUGUCAAUAGUGAAACAUUCUUUUGACUUGAGUAAACAAAUUUGCCACAUUUAAUUCCUUCUCCAAUCAAUUUUUGAAAAAGCUCCUAUGAAUAUGAAGAUAUUUGAGAGUCCAAUUAAAUUCUUAUGAAAUAAUCCUGAAGAAAAUCCCCUGCACUUCCCUAAUUAAGAUCCUAUGAAAUGUAAUCUAAAGUCAAGCUGUUGCACAAGAAAUGUGCACAAGCUGAAUAUCAGAAAGUUGAGCUACAUGAGCUUGGAGUUCACAUUCAAAAUACAACUCAACAUUAAUAAUCAAAAUUAGUUCCUCCUCCUGUGCCUCAUCUCCCACUGAUUAGUAAACUCUGUGUUUUUUAUUACGGAUAUUGCUUAUUUGUGUCCUCAACAAAUUGGAGAUGGAUUUAAUACAGGGGGUUUGCUUUUGCUUUUCUUAGCUGGUAGCAAACACUACUUACUGGAGUAUAGCUGGAACAACUAUGGGUAGCACUGUAGCUAAUGAUGCUACUCCACUUUGAAUACACACUUUAAAACAUCUGCAUUAGAAGGGAUAUGUGUUUUAAAUAUCAACAUUUAAUUUAUGUUACCACUUUUUUCUCUCUGAAAGGCUCCCAAUUUUUAUACCUAUACUGCAAGCAGACACAAGCUUGAUUUUAUCUAAGUUAAAACAGCUAAAUUUUCUAAAGUUGGUUGGAAGAAACAACAUUUAUUUCUAUUUGUUUUAUGAUACAUUUACUACUUUCCUCCAAUUCAGAAAAGGAAGUGAUUUUUUAAAAUUAAAGUAAAACUGAAUCUUACCAGUUUUUUUUUAAAAAAGAAGAGUAAUAACAUACAAUUUUGUGACUUGGCAAAGUUUUGUUAAGAGUGAGUUGAAUUGGCCCCAGUUCACUGUGAUGUAGUGGUUCAUUUGGUGUAUAUUGUCUGCCUAUCCAGUUACACAAACAAAUGUUGUGCCAUCCCUUCAGAACAGAAAACACUUCUCUGUCCUCUGGCUUUUUCAUUUCACCACAUCGCAUUAAAGAGGGGAAAGCAAAACCUAUUCUCUGAGCUUGUUGCCUGUCAGAAUAGAUUUGCUACAGCACCCAUUAUUUGCUGCUGAGCAGUCAUUCUUCCGAAUUAGAGGAGAAGUCAUCCAUCUGUCCAAAGGAUUCUCCUGCAACUGAGCAGCAGUGAUGAAAGAAGCCCCUGUUGGCAAAGGCUGCCACGUUAUAAUCACAAGGCGCUGCAACAGAUAGUACCCAAUGGCUGUUAAAUUGGGAACAUGCUAGGCUCUGUCUAAAAACCCAGCGAGGAACACAAGAAGGCACUUUGCCAUUCCUAGAAAACUGCCACAACAUGGGGGAAUUUGUACAGCAAUGCAUGGAGAACUUCAGGGAUCACCCAAUGCCCAUUCCAAUUGCCUUUUUGCUCACUGUUCCAGAAAUGCAGAUAGCUCUGAGCUCAACAUGCCUAGGUCAGUAUUGUGGAAGUGAAAAAUGCUAUGUGAAGAGCAUGCACACACUGCAAGUGAAGCAUAUGAGGCAGAGGAAUAAUGCACAUCUGGCAAAGGCUCUAGAAAAAUUCUCAGUAAUUUGCCUACUGCUUAAAGAUGCUUGGUGAGUCACAAACUAUUGGGUCAUGUACCCAGCUUGAGUGAGCUAUCCCAGUAUUCUGUCAUCUGAUUAUUACACAUGCAGGCACCAUGUCACUGGCCAAUCUGAGAUAGGUAGUUGGAAUACCAAGCACUGCUGGCCAAGAAUGAGAUGUAGAAGAACCUGCAAUGCUGAGGAGCUCAGACAGAGGUCUAUGGCUGGCUAGAGGUAGCAGUUCCCAUGACAGAUAUAUGAUCUAUUCCUUUUCCUGAAAUGGACCCGAUCUAGUUGUCCAGACUGCCCUGAAGACACAGGAUACUCUGGAACAGGAGCACCUGGUGACACAGCCGAUUAAACCACCAAGCUGCUGAACUUGCUGACUAAAAGGUCAGCGGUUCAAAUCCAGAGAGCAGGAACUUUAAUGUCCAUGUGGAUUACAUAUGCAAGCGGGACAAAAUGACACAGGGACAUCAAUCAAGGAUGGACUCUUGAAAUUUGUGUUCCAUGGGACUGCUUUUGAAAAUUGUCUGGAUACAUCUGCUAGUUAAGACUAUGGUUGCAAGAAUGAGCAAUUUAAUUCUAUCGCUAUGAAUGAAUUUUCAGAGUUCUAAA